rnacentral:misc_RNA from 1 species
GAUGAAGAACGUAGCAAAAUGCGAUAAGUAAUGUGAAUUGCAGAAUUCAGUGAAUCAUCGAAUCUUUGAACGCACAUUGCGCCCGCCAGUAUUCUGGCGGGCAUGCCUGUUCGAGCGUCAUUUCAACCCUCAAGCCCUCGGGUUUGGUGUUGGGGAUCGGCGAGCCUUUCUGGCAAGCCGGCCCCGAAAUCUAGUGGCGGUCUCGCUGCAGCCUCCAUUGCGUAGUAGUAAAACCCUCGCAACUGGAACGCGGCGCGGCCAAGCCGUUAAACCCCCAACUUCUGAAUGUUGACCUCGGAUCAGGUAGGAAUACCCGCUGAACUUAAACAUAUCAAUAAGCGGAGGA